GGCGGUGCGCCUUAUGCAUGCAAGUUGAGCGAAGCUUUUUGGUAGUUUACUACUAGAAAUGACUGAGCGGCGAACGGGUGAGUAACGCGUGAGCAAUCUACCUUAGUUACUGGGAUAGCCCGAGGAAACUCGGAUUAAUACCGGAUAUUCUUAUUUUUUCACAUGAAGUUUUAAGGAAAGGUCAGCCGAACUAAGAUGAGCUCGCGUUCUAUCAGCUAGUUGGUGGGGUAAAAGCCUACCAAGGCUACGACGGAUAGCUGGUCUGAGAGGACGAUCAGCCACACUGGGACUGAGACACGGCCCAGACUCCUACGGGAGGCUGCAGCAGGGAAUAUUGUGCAAUGAGCGAAAGCUUGACACAGCGACACCGCGUGUGGGAUGACGGUUCUAGGAUUGUAAACCACUUUCAGGAGGGAAGAAAAUGACGGUACCUCCACAAGAAGACCCGGCCAA
rnacentral:rRNA from 1 species